CAGAACCUGGCUGAAGAUGAACAACUCCCAGGGAGACUUUGGAGGGAAAAGCAAGAAACCUGGGCCUCCUCCCCUCCCGCUCCACCCUCCCUACUCCCUGAUCCCUUACAGAGGGAGGUGGAGGUCUGAGGAGGGUAAGAGCUUGUGAGUGUGGCUGCGCCCCCUGCUAAGGUGCUGAGAAUCCACAGCUCUUUCCAUCCUCCGCUCCUCCCUCCCCAAUGCCCAUCAGGUGCUCACUCAGAGGUGGUGCCGGGCGAUUUCAUAAGAAGGGCAGCAGACAGAGUCUCGGGGAAUAGUCCAAGGAGAAAGAUUCUGAAGCUGGAGCCCACUCCAAAUCUCAGGAGAGAGAAGGUCCUGAGUGGGACGGGGAGUGUGGAAAAGAAGGCCCAGAAGGAAAUACCACCCAUCCCAGGAAGACAAAAACAUGAAGUUUUAGAACUGGCAGGCUCCGAAUUCAAAGGCACACAGUCCUUUCAGUAGCCUAAGAAGGUCAGGCACGGUGGCUCACGCCUGUAAUCCCAG
rnacentral:lncRNA from 1 species